AAAGGAAGAGAGGCAGCUGCACUGUGAGUCAGCUUGUCAGAAGAUUCUAAGGAAAGAGAUAAGGAGUGGUGAUAGCAGGACAAGAUCCCACCCAGCUAAGUAUUUUUGUUUGUGCUUACAAAGGAAAGCCUGGGACUGAAGGAGUUUAGGUCCAGACACAGCUGAAGACACAGUAUGAGAUAAUGUUCAGAUUACAUUGUAAAGAGAAAUUAUAUUUAUGGAUCAUCAAAAGCCUGAAUCUGCCUUCUUAAACCUUUCCAUAUGCCUCCAGAUUAAUCCUGAAACAGGAACAGAGAUGGACAAUGGACAAGACAAAAGACAACUUGUACCUGGACUUACUGAUCAGAAAACCACUCAACUAUUUGGGUCAGACGGUCUCCAGUGAAUCCCAGAGAAGAUCCCCCAAAUGUAAGGGUUCAUGAUACACUGAAGAUGAUACCCUGGACUCAAAUAGUAUGCACAAGCAAAGAACAUUUUAUUCUGCAGAAGUCGAGGGUCUGUCAUCUACCAAGGCAGAGGCCAAGCAUUUAUACUUAGAUCUGAAAUAGCAUCUAAAACUUUUAUUAAUCUUCUUCUUAUAUUAAUGCUUCCAUUUUUAACCAUUUGUAAAAAUAAUGCAGCAUGUGGACUUGUUUAAGAAAAAACCUGGCUCAGAAUUACCCUUCAUGAAUGAGGUCUGCUGGGAGAAAGGCUAUUAGACCCAUGGGAGCCAAGACCAGGAAUUGAGGUGAAUGAGCAUUAAAAAUGUAUAGUCCUGAAUGGGGCUUGGAAGGGGAAACCUUUAAAAUACACAUAGAAACUUCAAUUAAAUAGAACAGCUUAAAGUAAGAAUAAGGGAGGGAGAGAACCCAUGGCAGCCAUGGGAGCAGAUUAACGGAAAGCAACAAGAAAGGCCCCAAAGGACAAUACCUGACUAUAUUUUCUGAUGGUAUUGGAAGAUGCUUAUCACGUGAUUCACAAUUAUAUAUAUCUGGAUGUCUCCAAAUGACUAUCCUUACUCAAAUUCUUAGCUCUUCACUUCUUACACAAAUUCAUAACUCAUGUAUAAUCAAAAACUGAUCUAAGGUCUUGUGAAAUGGCUCAGUGGGUAGAGGGAAUUGUGCGCAGGCCGGAUGACCUGAGCUCAGCUCCUGGAUCCCAGGCGGGGGCAGGAGAGAGCAGACUCUAGAGAAUUGUCCUGACUUCCACACAUGUGUACUGAUAUAGGCAAGGUUGCACUCACACACACAUACACACAUAAAAGUACAUAAGCAGUUAGAACUUUGAUUCUAAUCUAUAAGAUUUAAAACAGAAGAUAGUGAUAGCAUUGAAUUCUCACAUUUUUCUCUAAUUAAAAUAAAAAGU